AUGUUGUCAAAUAAUAACUUCCUUGGAAAGUGUUGGUAUGGAGGGCACCUGUGGAUACGGUUAGCCAUGGAAAUUGAAAGUAUGGUGAAAAAAGGAAUAAACUUUAUUUUUUGUUUGGGAACCGCCUAUGAUAUAUCUAGCAAGGAAAGUGUUGGGAACUCUAAGUUGUUUUUGUUGGUGGGAAAAGCACACCUCCCAAAAUGUUUUUAUCUCUAUGUUUGUUGCUUUGAGCUCUGGCACCUCUAUAAAUCCCUACUUCCCUCUGUGAAGGGCCUUUCUUUUACUUUCUGCAAUUUUUAA
rnacentral:rRNA from 1 species